CAAACGUAUAUAAAGACUCAGAUAGAACGAACGAAUUGUGAGUCGUUUUUGAAGUAGCCUCUUUUUGUUUUGGUGUUAUUUGAUGUGUUUGGUGUGUUUGGGGACAUCGCAUUGGUCAUAAUGAAGCUACUGUGCUGGAACAAUUCUGUCUGGGGAUUGAUGGCAGUCAUUGCAAUGUUUUUGGGCAUCAUUUCGUCGGCUGUCUGUAACCACGAGGAACGAGGUCCUCCGCGUAACGGACACGAUAUCAGAGGACCGUGCCCCAGUGGCUAUUUCAGGGACUCGUUAGGGACAUGCCGUAGAAGGCUCAAUUGAAAUCGUCUCGGGACACAGUGCGUUGACCGGAUUACGAAGAAACUUUGCUGGAUAUUAUGUACAAUCUUGAAACUAUAAUAAAUUGUUUUCCAAAUGA